UGGAGAAUAUUGGACAAUGGGCGAAAGCCUGAUCCAGCCAUGCCGCGUGUGUGAAGAAGGUCUUCGGAUUGUAAAGCACUUUAAGUUGGGAGGAAGGGCAGUAAGCGAAUACCUUGCUGUUUUGACGUUACCGACAGAAUCAGCACCGGCUAACUCUGUGCCAGCAGCCGCGGUAAUACAGAGAGUGCAAGCGUUAAUCGGAAUUACUGGGCGUAAAGCGCGCGUAGGUGGUUCGUUAAGUUGAAUGUGAAAGCCCCGGGCUCAACCUGGGAACGGCAUCCAAAACUGGCGAGCUAGAGUAGGGCAGAGGGUGGUGGAAUUUCCUGUGUGGCGGUGAAAUGCGUAGAUAUAGGAAUGAACACCAGUGGCGAAGGCGACCACCUGGGCUCAUACUGACACUGAGGUGCGAAAGCGUGGGGAGCAAACAGG
rnacentral:rRNA from 1 species